rnacentral:rRNA from 1 species
GCUCAAAUUUUGAAUCUGGUAGUCUGUUGGCUGCCCGAGUUGUAAUCUAGAGAAGCGUUUUCCGCGCUGGACCGUGUACAAGUCUCCUGGAAGGGAGCGUCAUAGAGGGUGAGAAUCCCGUCUUUGACACGGACUACCAGUGCUAUGUGAUGCGCUCUCGACGAGUCGAGUUGUUUGGGAAUGCAGCUCAAAAUGGGUGGUAAAUUCCAUCUAAAGCUAAAUACAGGCGAGAGACCGAUAGCGAACAAGUACCGUGAGGGAAAGAUGAAAAGAACUUUGGAAAGAGAGUUAAACAGUACGUGAAAUUGCUGAAAGGGAAACGCUUGAUGUCAGUCACGUCGGCCAGGGAUCAACCUUGCAAUUCGUUGCUGGGUGCAUUUCCUGGUCGAUGGGUCAGCAUCAGUUUCUGUCGCCGUACAAUGGCAAAGGGAAUGUGGCACUCUUUC